UGGGGAAUCUUGGACAAUGGGCGCAAGCCUGAUCCAGCCAUGCCGCGUGGGUGAAGAAGGCCUUAGGGUUGUAAAGCCCUUUCAGUCGUGACGAUGAUGACGGUAGCGACAGAAGAAGCCCCGGCUAACUCCGUGCCAGCAGCCGCGGUAAUACGGAGGGGGCAAGCGUUAUCCGGAAUUAUUGGGCGUAAAGCGUCCGUAGGCGGUUUGGUAAGUCUGCUGUCAAAGACCACAGCUCAACUGUGGGUCGGCAGUGGAAACUGCGAGACUAGAGUGUGGUAGGGGUAGAGGGAAUUCCUAGUGUAGCGGUGAAAUGCGUAGAUAUUAGGAAGAACACCAGUGGCGAAGGCGCUCUACUGGGCCAUAACUGACGCUGAUGGACGAAAGCUAGGGGAGCGAAAGGGAUUAGAUACCCCCGUAGUCC
rnacentral:rRNA from 1 species